AAGUCGAACGCUCCGCAAGGAGAGUGGCAGACGGGUGAGUAACACGUGGGAAUCUUCCUAUCGGUACGGAAUAGCUCAGGGAAACUUGAGGUAAUACCGCAUACGCCCUUCGGGGGAAAGAUUUAUCGCCGAUAGAUGAGCCCGCGUCUGAUUAGCUAGUUGGUGAGGUAAUGGCUCACCAAGGCGACGAUCCAUAGCUGGUCUGAGAGGACGACCAGCCACACUGGGACUGAGACACGGCCCAGACUCC
rnacentral:rRNA from 1 species